CCUCCUACCCUCUCCAUCGUUGUCUUCUCUCAGCCCCCCUUCUUUUCUCUCGUCUUUGGCCUUGCGUCCCCCGGAUCCACUCAACUCUCCCCUUCUUCUCUCUCGACAACGGUGGUCUUCCUUUCGACGGCGCCGACAACAGAGUGGUGGUGGUGCGUGGCGUUGUUGGUGGUGCAACGGGGCUUGCCAACCCUCAACAACAAUUGAGAGAUUGGCAGAGGCGUCUCUGCCACGAAUGCCGCAACAUGGAACGCCAGAUUAGAGCUAGAGCUUCUUAAAUUGUGGUUCUCCCAUAUGCGGGAGGUGAAGCCUGGUAUAUAUGUUACGUAUAAUGGUGAUUUUUUUGACUGGCCUUUCCUGGAAAAAAGAGCAGCCCAUCAUGGAUUCAAACUUAGUGAUGAGGUUGGAUUUCAAUGUGACUAUAAUCAAGGAGAAUGUCGUGCUAAAUUUGCUUGCCAUCUUGAUUGCUUUGCUUGGGUCAAGCGUGAUAGUUAUCUCCCUCAGGGAAGCCAGGGCCUUAAGGUUUAAGAUUUAAUCAAACUUGCUUAUUUGCUUAUCGUUCUACUAUUUCUGUUUUAUAAGACAUUAAACAGUAUCUUCCAAAUGGUUAUGUGUUUUAUGUUUUGUUCUCUUGUGGUUGCGUCUGCAUCUUUUGCUUUUCAGCUGUGUUUGUUUGGUGUGGAAUAUGUUUACCUAGAUUUUGAGCCUUUGGUAUUUAUUUUGGAAAGAAAUCUCUCCACAUCC